CUACACGAAGUAACCUUACUUGGUUUGACAUAUAGUUGUAGGACUAGAAAGGGACCGACCCGUUCGGGGAGCCUAUACAGGUUGUUGCAUGGCUGUCGUCAGCUCGUGUCGUGAGAUGUUCGGUUUAAGUCCGCUAACGAGCGCAACCCUCGUCGUAUGUUAUAUGUGUCAUACGAGACUGCCGGUAAAAAGCCGGAGGAAGGUGAGGAUGAUGUCAAGUCAGCAUGACCUUUAUAUCCAGGGCUACACACACGCUACAAUGGUCUGUACAAUGGGUAGCCAAGCCGCGAGGCGGAGCCAAUCCUGAAAGCAGGCCUCAGUUCAGAUUGCAGUCUGCAACUCGACUGCAUGAAGCCGGAGUUGCUAGUAACCGCAGGUCAGCAAUACUGCGGUGAAUACGUUCCCGGGUCUU
rnacentral:rRNA from 1 species